UGACCGUAUAUUCCAUAUCAGUGUGAUCGAGCACUUUAAGAACUUUGGACUAGUUCUUCGAGAAAUAUCAAAAUGGGUAAAAGACGAUGGUUUGCUUUUCUUAGAGCAUUUUAUGUCACAAAAACUUUGCAUUCCAUGCCGCGCCAAUCAAUGAGGAUGAUUGGUUUGGCAAAUACAUUUUACCAACUGGGACGCUACCAUCAGCAAACACUCUUCUGUAUUUCCAGGAUGAUAUUACGGUUGUAGACCAUUGGGU